GAUGAACGCUGGCGGCGUGCCUAAUACAUGCAAGUCGAGCGAACAGACGAGGAGCUUGCUUCUCUGACGUUAGCGGCGGACGGGUGAGUAACACGUGGAUAACCUACCUAUAAGACUGGGAUAACUUCGGGAAACCGGAGCUAAUACCGGAUAAUAUAUUGAACCGCAAGGUUCAAUAGUGAAAGACGGUUUUGCUGUCACUUAUAGAUGGAUCCGCGCCGCAUUAGCUAGUUGGUAAGGUAACGGCUUACCAAGGCAACGAUGCGUAGCCGACCUGAGAGGGUGAUCGGCCACACUGGAACUGAGACACGGUCCAGACUCCUACGGGAGGCAGCAGUAGGGAAUCUUCCGCAAUGGGCGAAAGCCUGACGGAGCAACGCCGCGUGAGUGAUGAAGGUCUUCGGAUCGUAAAACUCUGUUAUUAGGGAAGAACAAAUGUGUAAGUAACUAUGCACGUCUUGACGGUACCUAAUCAGAAAGCCACGGCUAACUACGUGCCAGCAGCCGCGGUAAUACGUAGGUGGCAAGCGUUAUCCGGAAUUAUUGGGCGUAAAGCGCGCGUAGGCGGUUUUUUAAGUCUGAUGUGAAAGCCCACAGCUCAACCGUGGAGGGUCAUUGGAAACUGGAAAACUUGAGUGCAGAAGAGGAAAGUGGAAUUCCAUGUGUAGCGGUGAAAUGCGCAGAGAUAUGGAGGAACACCAGUGGCGAAGGCGGCUUUCUGGUCUGUAACUGACGCUGAUGUGCGAAAGCGUGGGGAUCAAACAGGAUUAGAUACCCUGGUAGUCCACGCCGUAAACGAUGAGUGCUAAGUGUUAGGGGGUUUCCGCCCCUUAGUGCUGCAGCUAACGCAUUAAGCACUCCGCCUGGGGAGUACGACCGCAAGGUUGAAACUCAAAGGAAUUGACGGGGACCCGCACAAGCGGUGGAGCAUGUGGUUUAAUUCGAAGCAACGCGAAGAACCUUACCAAAUCUUGACAUCCUCUGACCCCUCUAGAGAUAGAGUUUUCCCCUUCGGGGGACAGAGUGACAGGUGGUGCAUGGUUGUCGUCAGCUCGUGUCGUGAGAUGUUGGGUUAAGUCCCGCAACGAGCGCAACCCUUAAGCUUAGUUGCCAUCAUUAAGUUGGGCACUCUAAGUUGACUGCCGGUGACAAACCGGAGGAAGGUGGGGAUGACGUCAAAUCAUCAUGCCCCUUAUGAUUUGGGCUACACACGUGCUACAAUGGACAAUACAAAGGGCAGCGAAACCGCGAGGUCAAGCAAAUCCCAUAAAGUUGUUCUCAGUUCGGAUUGUAGUCUGCAACUCGACUAUAUGAAGCUGGAAUCGCUAGUAAUCGUAGAUCAGCAUGCUACGGUGAAUACGUUCCCAGGUCU
rnacentral:rRNA from 1 species